CCUGGUCCAUCUUCAUCCCUGCACCCACGCGAGGAUAUCGUAGUCACAGACACACCUGAGGAUUAGCUAACAGAAAAAUGGUGUUCGACACCCUUAUCAAGGGUCUAUCUCUUCAUCUGGCGAUCUGUGUCUAUGUAGAUGUGUGCGAGUCACACAUACACACGCAGACACACAUACACGCAGAGCAGAAACUGACUUCAGUGCCAUUUUGCAUCAUCACCCCUAUUAGGAUUAUCAGAGUAUUGGAAUUGGAAGAAAUAUGGUUUUAUGUCACAAUAAAACGCCGGUCACAUCUAAUUCUGCCCUCAAACAAACAGAUUUCUGAAAGCCUUGCAGAGAAAUUUGAAAUAACUUUAAAGAGGGGGUUUUUGGAUAAAGUCUUUAUCCAGGGGCUUGUUCAACUGCAGUGUAAAAGGUUUAGAGAGAGAGGAGAGGAGAGAGAGAGAGGAAUAGAAGGAGGGAGGGAGAAGGGAAGAGGGAGAGAAGAAAAGAAGGAGAAAGGAAGACCCACACAGCCGUUCUGCUUGCUGAUCUCUCUUCAAACACGCUGGAGCAUCGUCAAGAAAAUGCAGUUUGGAUGA
rnacentral:lncRNA from 1 species